rnacentral:rRNA from 1 species
CCUACGGGUGGCUGCAGUGGGGAAUAUUGGACAAUGGGGGCAACCCUGAUCCAGCCAUGCCGCGUGUGUGAAGAAGGCCCUCGGGUUGUAAAGCACUUUCAGUGAGGAAGAACGCCUGGUGGUUAAUACCCAUCAGGAAAGACAUCACUCACAGAAGAAGCACCGGCUAACUCCGUGCCAGCAGGCGCGGUAAUACGGAGGGUGCGAGCGUUAAUCGGAAUUACUGGGCGUAAAGCGCGCGUAGGUGGCUUGAUAAGCCGGUUGUGAAAGCCCCGGGCUCAACCUGGGAACGGCAUCCGGAACUGUCAAGCUAGAGUGCAGGAGAGGAAGGUAGAAUUCCCGGUGUAGCGGUGAAAUGCGUAGAGAUCGGGAGGAAUACCAGUGGCGAAGGCGGCCUUCUGGACUGACACUGACACUGAGGUGCGAAAGCGUGGGUAGCAAACAGGAUUAGAUACCCGAGUAGUC